AUAAUAGAUUCAGAGCUGAGAAGACCUUUACAGGAGCAGCUAGGACAUUCAGUGGAUGGAGCCAAGGUCUGGAGCAGGAAGACUUAAGUUCAAAUCUGGCCUCAGAUACUUACCUGGUAUGAGAUAUUAGAUUGGCUGGCUUUUCAUUACAAUUGGCUGAAAGAAUCAUGGGGUCUCUGGCUAAAUAUUUUCAUUUUGCUGAAGCAAGCAAUUACUACUGUAGAGUUAAAAAGAUUAAAAAAAAAAGAAAAACAGAAAAUUUAACAAAACAUCACUUUCUUCAGAGAAGAAAACAUCCUUUCCUGAUAUCAUGUGAAAAAAGACUUCUCAAAAUGCCUCCAAAAGGAAUGAAUUCCUGUGAUCCUGACCUACACAGGUUCCAUGCUGCUCCAUGAUGAUGAGAAUGAUGAUGGAAAAUCCAAGUGUAAUAAGUCAAUCUGACAAAAGUUCAUUUACUCACAAGAAUUUUUUUCCAUUUAGAAUAAAGUU
rnacentral:lncRNA from 1 species